rnacentral:ncRNA from 12 species
CUCUACCAAAUAGUCAGAUGCUGACAGCUCAAGGGCUGUCUCCCAGUACAUGGUAGGUAAAGGACUGCUUUUCCUUGCCAUAGGCAAAAAAUUAAAACUGUGCACACACCGAUAGUAGGCAUAUCCGAAUUCCGUGUGUGC